rnacentral:lncRNA from 1 species
GCCCGCCUAGGACCGAGCAGGCCCAGAGGCCACGCGCUUUUCUUCCCCAGGCGGAAAGCGGGAGAAUUCGUCGCUUUGGACGUGACCGCCCUGGCUUAAGCUAUGACCCUCUUUUCUGGAUCUGAUAAGGGCACUGCCUGUCAGAAGGCGGAUUUGUGUGGUGAUGAGUGAGUCUUUUGGAUUGGUAAUGGGACGCGGUGUCAGACUGGAGGUUUAUGAAGUCUCGGGCGGGGAAGGUUUGUGGGACGAAGGUAGGUUAUUGGGGAAUCGGGUGGGGUGAGCUCUGAGGUUAGUAAUCGGAUAAUGGGGUUGUCCGUGGGGUCAGAAAUCGUGUGCAGCGGACUGACUGGGGGCGAGGACGGGGUCAGGGAUUUCGGGGACUCUGAGGACUCGGGGAGGACAGUCACGGGCUAAGUGAGGGAGCAUCCAUGUGGCAGUGAUGUGGCAGGAGGGACUUCCUGGGGGUGUGUAAUUGCCAGGCCCGGGGAUUCGGAUUGGAGGGAGCCCUGGUGGGGUGAGGACAUGGGAGUCGGUCAGCUCUAAUUUUUUCUACAUACCUUAAAAUUUCUACAGGUCAUAGGUAGCCUUAAAGGUCAAGUCCCUUCUCAACCUACUGUUGUGCCCUCAGCCUGGUGCCCUGUCCAAAAAUGAUCAUUUUGGAAUAAGACCAAAGAAAUCAAAAUGAUUUAUUUUGACAAAGCCUGGGAUACGCCAUGUGAGAUAGUCUCCCUGUGGCGGGAGCUGUCACCUCCUCUGAGCCAGUUCGUCAUGUCUACGUGACUCCCUCUGGGACUGAGAAAGACUGACCAGGUACAACUGUACUGUUGAAAAUCAGCAAUAAUUUUUUUAAAAAAUGAGCAAUAAAAAUUUAAAAAGAUAAAAUUAACAUUUUAGGCAGUUCCUGUGGUGGCUCUUCAGAAACAAAUCUGACAAGCAUCCAUGAGGAUGCAGGUUUGAUCCCUGGCCUUGUUCAGCGAGUUAAGGAUCUGGCGUUGCUGUGAGCUGUGUUGUAGGUUGCAGAUGCAGCUGGGAUCUGAGGUUGCUGUGGUGUAGGCAAGUGGCUACAGCUCUGAAUCAGUCCCCUAGCCUGGGAACCUCCAUACACCCCAGGGGCAGUGCACACACACACACACACACACACACACACCACAUACACACACACACCACACACACACACACACACACACUUUAGCCCAUGGGUAUUGAUUGGCAGGAAAGUCUGCUGAGUUGAAGGAAAAUAUGGGAGCUCUUGAGAAAUUAUUAGAAUUCAGCUGCUGAUUCUUUCCGAGGAAAAAGGGACUAUAUCCUUCAGUUUCCAUUUGGCCAUUAGCCAUUCUUAUUACGGGGAGCUUCAUCUUUAUGUAUAUGUACAGCUGAAGGUAUGCAUCUGUUCAUGUUUAUUGCCUUAUGAAAGUACUGGAAUGGAAUUGCUGGUUCACAACGGGGGCGGGGGGGAGAUAAGUUGUUAAUAAAUCAACAUGGAAUAUAUCUUGACUGCUAUACAAUUAAAAAACCUUGGAGUUCCCGUCGUGGCGCAGUGGUUAACAAAUCCGACGAGGAACCAUGACGUUGCAGGUUCGGUCCCUGCCCUUGCUCAGUGGGUUAAGGGUCCGGCGUUGCCGUGAGCUGUGGUGUAGGUUGCAGACGCGGCUCAGAUCCCGCGUUGCUGUGGCUCUGGUGUAGGCCGGUGGCUACAGCUCCGAUUCGACCCCUAGCCUGGGAACCUCAAUAUGCCGCAGGAGCAGCCCAAGAAAUAGCAAGAAGAC